rnacentral:rRNA from 1 species
GUCUACGGCCAUACCACCCUGAACGCGCCCGAUCUCGUCUGAUCUCGGAAGCUAAGCAGGGUCGGGCCUGGUUAGUACUUGGAUGGGAGACAAUCAAGGAACAUAUAGCCAAAAAAA